UUGUAUCAGACAAUGAUAUUUGAAAAAUACUGAGAACUUUUUUUCAAGCAAUGUAGGGUUUACAAAAAAUCUUGAAAUACCGAAAAGUGUUAACGAUUACUACAUGUACGUACGUUUUGCCUUCAUUGGUGUGUUAUAGUUUUAUAUAUCAUUGAUUAUCUCUCAUUCUAAUAUGAUGUGCUACUUUCGCUUUGUAAACAACACUGUGAUAAAAUUCUCGAUAUAUUAAUACUUAGCGCAGACUCAGAGAUAUACAUAAUAAUGACUGUUACAGUAUACUUCCCACGUAAAUCUACAUGUAUUGGGACCUAUUUGCAGACCCUUUGCCGAUUUAAUUGUUUUAAAAAGUGCAAUUGAAAAAAGACAUUUUUUUUUCUCGAAUUGUCAGACUUUGCAUUCAUUAUAGUUAACAAUGUUGUCAAAAUAAUAGAUCUUGAGUUGAUUCAACUAUCGAAUGCAUAAAUACCAUAGCCAUGUUUUCGUAUGAGAAACUAUUAUGUACAAUGUUAUAUAAUGAUACAAAAUGUGGCCGCGGACAUGUAGAAGUAGUUUUGAUAUAUUUAGUAGUAGGGUUUUUGUCUUAUAAUAUGCUUAUACGGUAGUUGGGUUGCUGUCAUAUUGUUGUAUAUGUAGUUGAGUUGCUGAUUUCUUAAUGUAUCUUGUAGUUGGGUUGCUGUCUUAUCAAUAUAUCAUAUGUACAUUGUAUGGAUUGUUGUAUUAUGUAGUUGGAUGGCUAUUUCAUUGAUGUAUUUCGUAGAUACCGGUAGAUGGAUGUUGUUUUCAUUUUUAUACGACCGCAAAAAUUGAAAUUGUUUUGGUCGUAUAUUGGUAUGACGUUGGCGUCGUCGUCGUCGUCGUCCGAAGACAUUUGGUUUUCGCACUAUAAUUUUAGUAAAAGUAAACAGAAAUCUAUGAAAUUUAAACACAAGGUUUGUGACUAUUAAAGCAAGGUUUGAAUUGAUUUUGGGAGUUUUGGUCUUAACAGUUAAGGAAUAAGAAGCCAAAAAAUUAAAGGUCCCAAAUAAGCAUUUUUCUUAGUUUUUACACAAUAACUUAAGUAUAAGUAAAUAGAAAUCUAUGAACUUUUAACACAAGGUUUAUGACCUUAAAAGGAAGGUUGGGAUUGAUUUUGGAAGUUUUGGUCCAGACAGUUUAGGAAUUAGGAGCCAAAAAAAGGUCCCAAAUAAGCAUUUUUUUUAGUUUUUACACAAUAACUUUAGUAUAAGUAAAUAGAAAUCUAUGAAAUUUUAACACAAGUUAUGACCACAUAAAAAAGGUUUGGAUUGGUUUUGGCAGUUUUGGUCGCAACAGUUUAGGAAUUAAGGGCCAAAAGGGUCCAAAAUUAAACUUUGUUUGAUUUCAUCAAAAAAUGAAUUUUUUGGGUUCUUUGAUAUGCCAAAUCUAACCGUGUAUUUAGAUUCUUAUUUUUUAGUCCUGUUUUCAAAAUUGGUCUACAUUAAGGUCCAAAGGGUCCAAAAUUAAACUUUGUUUGAUUUUAACAAAAAUUGAGUUCUUGGGGUUCUUUGAUAUGCUGAAUCUUUUAACAUGUACUUAUUUUU
rnacentral:lncRNA from 1 species